rnacentral:lncRNA from 1 species
CUAGGGAAGUGUCCCAACACCCAUCACAGCCCCAGUCCAAGUGGCCCUUUCCCAGGGUCUGGGCCAGCCCUACAGCUGGAGUCACUGGUAAACCCCGGUGACAGAGACGGAAGAACUUGAGCCUACUCAGUCUGUCUCCACGCCUGAGAAGUGGGGUUAUAGAGACACCAGAGCCUCUUAAACUGUGAAGAGCAACUAAGGAAGAUUGGCCCCUGCAGCCAGGAGGAGAGGCAGCUGCUUAUUCGGCAGGAAUGUGUGGGUGGAGACCUUUAGGAGGAGCAGUAGACAGCAGGAGUGGGACCAGGCCUGGGCUGCCUGGGGGAGGAGGGCUGCCUUGGCCCUCAUCUUUGUGGACAUGGAGAGAGCCCUAGGCCCGGGCUUCGUGGGAUCUUAUGCUCCCAUUUCUCCAGAGAUAAACUGAGGGAGCAGAGUGACCCAAGUCACAGAGCAAAGUAAGGGUGUGGUCUUCUGGCUGAGUCAUGGUAGGCUCUGCAGGCUACAGGGGCUGUGUGCUGGCCACANNNNNNNNNNNNNNNNNNNNNNNNNNNNNNNNNNNNNNNNNNNNNNNNNNNNNNNNNNNNNNNNNNNNNNNNNNNGGGGCUGUGUCCACACAGCCAGCCAUGGCUCCCAGGAACACAGCCCACAGUGGGGGAGGCCCAGUUCUUCAAAUAUGCUCCCGACUCAAGGCAGUAUGGUGUGGACAUCACCAUGGCUCUGAAAUGAGCAGGCGAGGAGUGGUGGAAGUGAAGAAAACUGGGUCCAGGACUGGCCCAGCACCACAGUCUACCUCAGUGGGUCCGGCUAACUACAACAGACCUGCAUACCCUCACCGGCUGGAAACCCGGAGGAGCUCUCCUAUGAGCUGGGGAUGUGUCCUGCAAAGAAUUCUGAGUGUGAUCAUGCCAACCAGAUGCAGUGUCACCGGAUUGUAGACACCAUACUUGUCCAUCCAAUAUUUAUUUGUCUUUUUGCAACAUUGGGGAUCAAAGCCAGGGCCUCGCAUCUUUACCAAUGACCAACUACCCCAUGCCAGCCCAUCUAAUAACAAGUAAUGUAUACUCCAUGGAGAUUUAAAAGCAUGACCAGUGUGUGGUGGUGCACACCUGCAAUUCCAGCAAACUGGGGAGCUGAGGGAGGAGAAACGCAAAUUUGAUCCCUGCCUGGGCAACUUAGGGACUUAUCAAGACCCUAAGUUAUCAAGUUAUCAACUUAGGGACCUAUCAAGACCCCAAGUCUCAAAAUAAAAAAUAAAAAACAGCCUGGGGUUAUAGCUCAGUGCAAAGGCCCAGGGUUCAAAUGGAAAUUAUGUCAAUGGACAGUAAAGAAAUAAUAUUGUAUAUCUUAAACAUAUACAAUUUUUAUUUGUCAAUUACGUUAAGGAUGGGAAAAAAAUUUAAUGAAAUAAAUCAGCACAUGGAGAAAAAUUUACAAGUUAUGGGGGGGUUUGUUUGUUUGUUGUUUUUUGAGACAGUCUCACUAUGUAGUCCAGGCUGGCCUCAAAUGUGUGGCAAUCCCACUGCUCAGCCUCCUGGGAUUACAGUUAUGUGUCACCAUGUCCUGAAAAAAAUUUACAAUAUAUACCAUAUACAAUGUGUAUAUAUAUAGUCUAAAAAUCUAUGACCUAUGGUGCCACUUCAAGAAACUAAAAAAGCACAGAACUCGCAAAGUAGAAAACAUAACAAAGAUGACCUUGGAAAUUAAUGAAUCGGAAAACAAGCAAUAAAGAAAUUUAACAAAAU